rnacentral:sRNA from 1 species
UUCUCUCUCUCCUCUCUC